UCGAUACACUACCCAGUGAUUCACUCACAUCGCCCGCUGACUUCUAAGUUCCAACUUCCAAGCAUCAGCCAUGGAAGAAUCAGCCCAGCAAUCACCAAACACCGUUGCCACUCCUCUCCAUCAACAACAAGGAUGGCGCCACCACCUCCAAACCUCCACACCUCCACACCUCCACACCUCCGUCCGCCUCAAAACAUCCCUAUCGUCCGAGCUCAGCGGCUCCAUAGGAGACCUAGGUACCUACAUCCCCAUAGUCCUAGCCCUAACUCUAGUCUCUCACCUGGACCUCUCCACCACCCUCAUCUUCACCGCCCUCU
rnacentral:lncRNA from 1 species